rnacentral:rRNA from 1 species
CCCUUAAAUGUUCUGGGCUGCACGCGCGCUACACUGAUGCGUUCAACGAGUUUAUGACCUUGCCCGAUAGGGUUGGGUAGUCUUCUUAAAUCGCAUCGUGAUGGGGAUAUGAUAUUGCAAUUAUUAAUCUUCAACGAGGAAUUCCCAGUAAGCGCGAAUCAUCAGCUCGUGCUGAUUACGUCCCUGCCCUUUGUACACACCGCCCGUCGCUCCUACCGAUUGAAUGAUCCGGUGAAUAAUUCGGACGGCAGCAGUGUUCAGUUCCUGAAUGUUGCAGCGGAAAGAUUAAUGAACCUUAUCACUUAGAGGAAGGAGAAGUCGUAACA